UACAGAGGGUGCGAGCGUUAAUCGAAAUUACUGGGCGUAAAGGGCGCGUAGGCGGUGAGGUGUGUGGGAUGUGAAAGCCCUGGGCUUAACCUGGGAAGUGCAUACCAAACUACCUUACUGGAGUAGAGGAGAGGGUGGCGGAAUUUCCGGUGUAGCGGUGAAAUGCGUAGAGAUCGGAAGGAACGUCAAUGGCGAAGGCAGCCACCUGGCCUCAUACUGACGCUGAGGCGCGAAAGCGUGGGGAGCGAACAGG
rnacentral:rRNA from 1 species